rnacentral:sRNA from 1 species
UUGCAGUGGGUAACAAAUAAAGAAGCAGU